rnacentral:rRNA from 1 species
CCCUUAGAUGUUCUGGGCUGCACGCGCGCUACACUGAUGCACUCAACGAGUUUACGACCUUGUCCGAGAGGAUUGGGUAAUCUUUUUAAAAUGCAUCGUGAUGGGGAUAGAUUAUUGCAAUUAUUAAUCUUCAACGAGGAAUUCCUAGUAAGCGUGAGUCAUCAGCUCGCGUUGAUUACGUCCCUGCCCUUUGUACACACCGCCCGUCGCUACUACCGAUUGAAUGGCUUAGUGAGCCUUUGGGAUUGGCAGCUUGUACCGGCAACGGUAGCAGGCCGCUGAAAACUUAGGCAAACUUGGUCAUUUAGAGGAAGUAAAAGUCGUAACA